CACACACACACACCCAAAAGGCCACCGUUUUGCUGCUCCGCCUCGCCUCGAUUGGUCCGGAGGGGCGAUGUGGCGAUCCUCCACGCGGAAAUCCGGCUCCGCCGCCCCCGUCAACGCUUCCCCGGUUUCCUCCGUUGCCUGCCGCUCGGAGGAAAAACAGAAGUGCAUGUGAACUGCUUGAUCUUAUACUAGGCUUCCAAUUCUGGCCUCAAGUUGACAAGUUCGUCAAAUAUCUUAAGUACCAACUUGAUUACACGGUCAUAAACCUGGACCAGCGGACAAGCUUUCUCAGAUUUUGUAAAGAGAUGAACUUCCCAUAUCUUAAACAAUUAUGAUGCCGAACUUGCUUGGCCCUUAAUUUUGGACAAUUUCGUUGAGUGGAUCCGAGAAAAGCAAUGUUAAUUUUUUAAGAUGGUGUGAAUGGUGCUGCCUUGGUUAUGAUUCACUAAGGGCUAAAUUGUUUAAGAAUAGCAUCUUCCCUGCCGGGCUCAAGUCGGAAACAUCAUCAACAUAAUUUCAUAAUUUGUCCUAUCUACGCUUGGCCGCCCCUCUGCAUAUUUAGAAUUCUCCUGUGAGUUGUCAUCUAGCUUGUCUCCUUACUGAUUUGCUAGAAUGCCGAAACUUACUGGGUAACUCUUAUCGUGCCAAUGUUCUCCAUGUUCAUAUCUAAAAAUAUUGUUCUUAUUCCCAAUUGUAGUGGAUAAUUCAUUUGUACUGAAUCAUGUCAACUGUUAAUCCUGUUCUUAAAACUUGUAUAUGACUAUGUCUUUCUCUAGGAGCCUCAACGUAACAGAUUGAAAUGAAUUCUACUCUUUAGCUCA